UCAGGAUGAACGCUAGCGACAGGCCUAACACAUGCAAGUCAGGGGCAGCACAAGGAGCAAUCUGAGGUGGCGACCGGCGCACGGGUGAGUAACACGUAUGCAACCUGCCUGUAAGCGGGGAAUAACCCGUUGAAAGACGGACCUAAUACCGCAUAAUACUAAAUUACUGCAUGGUAAUUAUUUAAACAUUUAUGGCUUACAGAUGGGCAUGCGCAUGAUUAGCUAGUUGGAGAGGUAACGGCUCCCCAAGGCAACGAUCAUUAGGGGUUCUGAGAGGAAGGUCCCCCACACUGGUACUGAGACCACGGACCAGACUCCUACGGGAGGCAGCAGUGAGGAAUAUUGGUCAAUGGACGAGAGUCUGAACCAGCCAAGUCGCGUGCAGGAAGAAUGUCCUAUGGAUUGUAAACUGCUUUUGCAGGGGAAUAAAGUGCAUCACGUGUGAUGUUUUGUAUGUACUCUGCGAAUAAGGAUCGGCUAACUCCGUGCCAGCCGCGGC
rnacentral:rRNA from 1 species